rnacentral:tRNA from 1 species
GCCUUCGUGUUGAAGUGGUCAACACGCUCGACGCGUAUUCGAGAGGUUCUUGGUUCGAGUCUCGGCGAGGGCA